rnacentral:rRNA from 1 species
UACGGGGGAUGCAAGCGUUAUCCGGAAUCAUUGGGCGUAAAGCGCCUGCAGGCUGUUUAAUAAGUCUGUUGUUAAAGCCUAGGGCUUAACCCUAGAAAAGCAAUGGAAACUACUAGACUAGAGUAUGGCAGGGGUAGAGGGAAUUUCUAGUGUAGCGGUGAAAUGCGUAGAUAUCAGAAAGAACACCGGUGGCGAAAGCGCUCUACUGGACCAUUACUGACACUCAGAGGCGAAAGCUAGGGUAGCAAAAGGGAUUAGAUACCCCUGUAGUCUUAGCCGUAAACGAUGGAUACUAGAUGUUGUGCUUAAUGUACAGUAUCGUAGCUAACGCGUUAAGUAUCCCGCCUGGGGAGUACGCUCGCAAGGGUG